rnacentral:rRNA from 1 species
GGCCGGGGGGGUGCUAUACAUGCAGUCGAGCGAACUGAUUAGAAGCUUGCUUCUAUGACGUUAGCGGCGGACGGGUGAGUAACACGUGGGCAACCUGCCUGUAAGACUGGGAUAACUUCGGGAAACCGAAGCUAAUACCGGAUAGGAUCUUCUCCUUCAUGGGAGAUGAUUGAAAGAUGGUUUCGGCUAUCACUUACAGAUGGGCCCGCGGUGCAUUAGCUAGUUGGUGAGGUAACGGCUCACCAAGGCAACGAUGCAUAGCCGACCUGAGAGGGUGAUCGGCCACACUGGGACUGAGACACGGCCCAGACUCCUACGGGAGGCAGCAGUAGGGAAUCUUCCGCAAUGGACGAAAGUCUGACGGAGCAACGCCGCGUGAGUGAUGAAGGCUUUCGGGUCGUAAAACUCUGUUGUUAGGGAAGAACAAGUACGAGAGUAACUGCUCGUACCUUGACGGUACCUAACCAGAAAGCCACGGCUAACUACGUGCCAGCAGCCGCGGUAAUACGUAGGUGGCAAGCGUUAUCCGGAAUUAUUGGGCGUAAAGCGCGCGCAGGCGGUUUCUUAAGUCUGAUGUGAAAGCCCACGGCUCAACCGUGGAGGGUCAUUGGAAACUGGGGAACUUGAGUGCAGAAGAGAAAAGCGGAAUUCCACGUGUAGCGGUGAAAUGCGUAGAGAUGUGGAGGAACACCAGUGGCGAAGGCGGCUUUUUGGUCUGU